GAGGUGAUGAUGGAAACAGGGAGGAGGGAGAGGUGAUGAAGGAAAUGGAGGAGGGAGAGGUGAUGAAGGAAAUGGAGGAGGGAGAGGUGAUGAUGGAAACAGGGAGGAGGGAGAGGUGAUGAAGGAAAUGGAGGAGGGAGAGGUGAUGAAGGAAACAGGGAGGAGGGAGAGGUGAUGAAGGAAAUGGAGGAGGGAGAGGUGAUGAAGGAAACAGGGAGGAGGGAGAGGUGAUGAAGGAAAUGGAGGAGGGAGAGGUGAUGAUGGAAACAGGGAGGAGGGAGAGGUGAUGAUGGAAACAGGGAGGAGGGAGAGGUGAUGAAGGAAAGGGAGGAGGGAGAGGUGAUGAUGGAAACAGGGAGGAGGGAGACGUGAUGAUGGAAACAGGGAGGAAGGAGAGGUGAUAAAGGAAACGGAGGAGGGAGAGGUGAUGAUGGAAACGGAGGAGGGAGAGGUG
rnacentral:lncRNA from 1 species